rnacentral:antisense_RNA from 1 species
GUUCAUGGUGGCUGUGUGGGGGAGAUCUUCGGGUCUGCCGUGUUUCCAUAUGCUCGGUCUGCGAACCCGCACACAGCCGCCACCCUU